rnacentral:rRNA from 1 species
UUUAACGGAGAGUUUGAUCCUGGCUCAGGACGAACGCUGGCGGCGUGCCUAAUACAUGCAAGUCGAGCGGGGUUUGCAUGCGGAAGUCUUCGGAUGGAAGCAAGUAAACCUAGCGGCGGACGGGU